UCCUCGCUGCCCGCGGAAAACAGGCCUCUCCGUCCGCCCCGCGCACCUCGCAGGGCCCAAGGCUGGCGGUCAAGCCUGGGACUCGGUCACGCCUCCCUGGUCUGUAGCCCGGGGUCAAGGGAGGGGACCCGCCAGACCCUGGAACAGCCCCCUCGGACAGGCCCACUUUCCUGAAGCAAUUUCUCCUCGCAAUGCGCGGUGUCUUCCCCCAAACUCCGUGGGGCUCACAGGAUGUCAUCUCUAGGCCAGCGGGCUCUGAUCCGGAAAGUGAGAAGAAAAUUUUAACCCACCUGUCCGGUGCUGGGCAAAGGAAAGCAGGAACUGAAUGGACUUGCAGGAAGCUGACCCCGCCUUGUAAACCAACAGCACCCUAUUCUUGAGAGGAGACCACGGGCGCCAAUUGCAACACACUGGCAGAAUUCAGGCAUGCUGCAGCUCCUUCCUAACCAGACAAUUCACCAGAGCAUCUACAGGAAAAUGAAAAUAUAACAGGGAAGGUGGGUUUUGAUCCUUCCACACAAAGGCAAAGACAGCUCACUCAGUUAUAGUAAUAUCCAUCAAUUGUCUACUUCCUUCUUUCACUUCCUAUUUAUGAAGUAUUAUUGGCACAAACCUAAACAACAUAUUAAAAAGCAGAGGCCUUACUUUGCUGACAAAGUCUGUCUAGUCAAAGCUAUAGUUUUUCCAUAGUCAUGUAUGGUUGUGAGACUAUCAAGAAAGCUGAGCACUGAAGAACUGAUGCUUUUGAACUGUGGUGUUAAAGACUCUUGAGGGUCCUGAACCUGUCUUGGCCAACUGAUGGGAAGAACUGACUCACUGGAAAAGACUGGGAUGCUGGGAAAGAUAGAAGGCAGGCCGAGAAGGGACCGACAUAGGAUGAGAUGGUUGAAUGACAUCACCGACUCUGGACAUGAAUUUGAGCAAGCUCUGGAGUUGAUGAUGGACAGGGAAGCCUGGCAUACUGCAGUCCAUGGGGUCAUGAAGAGUCCGACACGAUUGAGCAACUAAACUGACACAAAACCAUUUGCACUUCCAAGCAAACCUAGGGAACAACCGUGGAUAGUGUGGAAGUUAAAAUUUGGGUUUGUGUAAGAAUAAAAAUGAUGAAUGCAAAGCAUUAAAAUCAAGUCUUUGUUUUUAAGUUAAUUUUUAUUAGAAUGUAUUUGCUUUUAUUUUUUUGGCCAUGCUAUGCAGUGUAUGGAAUCUUAGCUCCCCAGUCAGGAGUGAAACUUGUGCC
ensembl:lncRNA